UACGUAGGGUGCGAGCGUUAAUCGGAAUUACUGGGCGUAAAGCGUGCGCAGGCGGCUUUGCAAGACAGAUGUGAAAUCCCCGGGCUCAACCUGGGAACUGCAUUUGUGACUGCAAGGCUAGAGUACGGCAGAGGGGGAUGGAAUUCCGCGUGUAGCAGUGAAAUGCGUAGAUAUGCGGAGGAACACCAAUGGCGAAGGCAAUCCCCUGGGCCAGUACUGACGCUCAUGCACGAAAGCGUGGGGAGCAAACAGG
rnacentral:rRNA from 1 species